GCAGCAGCUCACUUCAGCCUCUCUUCUGCCUCCAUGCUGCCUCCAGCCUCUUCCUCCCUGCAUUCCUCCCACGUGGCUCUCUGUGAAGUAGAUUGUGAUUGUGUGUGGAAUUCGGGUGAGUUUGAUUGUGUGUGGGGGUUGGCUGAGUGUGACUUUGCAUGGAGUUUGCUGAGUGUGAUUAAGAGUGGCAUUGGCUAAUUG